AGAGGGAGACACCGAAUUUGAAGCAGGCUCCAGGCUCUGAGCUGUCAGCACAGAGCCCGAUGCGGGGCUCGAACUUACGAGCUGUGAGAUCAUGACCUGAGCUGAAGUUGGAUGUUCAACCUACUGAGCCACCCAGGCACCCCGCCAUGGCCGUUUUUAUUAUGGUUGUCUUCCUUCAGGACUCUCCUGGGGUCAACGAAAAUAAUAGUUUGCUGGAAUCUCUAUUUUUAAUCCGGAAUUAUGAUAUCCACCCACACAGAAAGAAGACAUCAUGACUAGUGCCACCAUGAGCCACUGUUCGCUUUGGUGUUGGCCACCCCACUGCCCUCUGGGACAUAGGAAGACAGCCUCCUGAACUGGCAGCAAUUGAGGAUAUAGAUGGACAAACCUCAAUUUCCUUUACUCCUUUGGCUCCUGUUUCCACUUAGCACAGAUGUUCUAUAAAGAAUUAUAAGAGUCCCUGGAGUUCUUGCCAAGAAGAUGCUGUUGAGGUCUACAUUAUCUACUACUCAUUGAUUGCUGAAAAUAUAAUCAUCAACUCAAUCAGUAAAUUUCAUUAAAAACCAAACAGAUGAAACAAUUUGACUAACUCUUCUUUGAGCUACAGAAGAAAAAGAACAUCUAUUAGAAAAAUAAACAGCAACCAUAAAUAAAGUAUCUUGUUUUUAAUCUAGUCUUUUUAUAAGAUUGUCUCUAUUUCUAAAUUGUAGUUAUUCAUUCUGGGAAAAUCUGUAGUUUGUUUCUAAAUGAACGCACAGAUUACUUUAAGUACGAGAUAAACUUUUGGAAUUUAACAAUGCAGUAUUUGCUCUUUAAAUUGUUCCUUUCAUAGCAGCUAACAGAAGAGAACAAACAAUAGUUUCUCCAUAUUCUUGGAAAAGUUUAUCUUGCAAGAGGGGUGAUACAAUCCUGUACUUAUUUUCUUUGUCAUUCUGAUAUGAUUAUUUAACUUCUUAUAUAUCCUGAGGUGACAAAGGAAUUUUUAGAGACCAUACUGCUCUUCACAGAACACUUCCAUUUUCUCUGAGCUAAACAUUAGGCAAAUUCUCUUAUUAGUUUUAGCUUAAGAUGAGUAUAUCUCAAGGAUCUCAUUUUUGCAAGGAAUUAAAAGGUCAGAAGAAUAAAUCAGAGAACUCCUAAAGUUAAACACAAUGCAUAUUAUUCUCCGGGCAGUAUGAAAAGGUAACUUUGUCCAGCUAUUGUGAUAGGUUGAUUUGAAUAAUCUCAAAAAAUUGAUACUACAGCUAAAUAGAAUAAUACAGACAUUGGAAAUUCAGCAUUCAAGAGCAGUAGCCUUCAUUAGCUCACUCAAUGUGUACUUCCUGAGUUUUUCCACUGUAUAAAGGCUAGAGAGGCACAAGGAACAGAAAACUGUAUGUACCAGAGCAGAUUACAGGUUGCCCUAUGCAAAGAGCACAGAAUCUACAGAAAUUAGAGGAUCAGAAAUACACAUGAAAUUUAAUUGUGAUAUAAGUCAAGAAGAGAAAACAACAUAUUUAUAUUUGCUAAACAUAUACUCAUUUACUAAAAAUGAGAGGCACAAAUAAUAAAAGUUAUAGAAGAUCACAGAAGUGCAUAUGCAUUUUGAAGAUAGUUGGUCUUAGGUAAAAGUCAUUGGCCAGCAGUUCUGACCAUCAUCAUUAAGUGGCUUCAUAACAUUGGAACCUACCUCUGACUUAGUACCACAGGGAUUCUCUAAGCAAAGUUCCUUUAGUUAG